UACGGGGGGAGCAAGCGUUGUUCGGAUUUACUGGGCGUAAAGGGCGCGUAGGCGGCGCAACAAGUCACUUGUGAAAUCUCCGGGCUUAACCCGGAGCGGUCAAGUGAUACUGUCGUGCUAGAGUGCGGAAGGGGCUACUGGAAUUCUCGGUGUAGCGGUGAAAUGCGUAGAUAUCGAGAGGAACACCUGCGGCGAAGGCGGGUAGCUGGGCCGACACUGACGCUGGAGGAGCGAAAGCCGUGGGGAGCGAACAGG
rnacentral:rRNA from 1 species